AAAAAGAUAAGCUAAUUAAGCUACUGGGCUCAUACCCCAUCAAUAAAGGUCCCAAUCCUUUUCUUUUUG
rnacentral:tRNA from 1 species